GAGGUUUUAAAAGUUUUGCAAUUCACGAAAUAAAAAUAAUGAAUAGGUUUCAAAUAAUCCCUAGUCAUUUCUAAAAUUCCUACCCACAUUUUUGUAAAGUGUUUAGUGCCUCUAACACAAUUUAAAAUAGGGCAAAACAAUUAUUAGAUGCCCUUUUGAAUUAUAAAAUUUCAAAUAUUUUCAAUAAGCUUUCGAACAUNNNNNNNNNNCUCUGCCUUUUAUUGCAUUAUAAUUAUUUUGGCUCAAAUGCCAUAUUUUCACAAAAGGUUAUUAUUACAAAAUAAUUAGAA
rnacentral:lncRNA from 1 species